CCAGCAGAUCCGCACCAAACACCUGCUCCCUGCGUACCAGGAGACUGAGCAUGGAAGCUUCCGGGUCACCUCCAGCAGCUCCCAGUUCAGUUCACGUGAUUCUACACAGCUCUCAGACUCUGGCUCUGCUGAAGACGUUGAUGAAUUUGAGAUCCAAGGUAAGAAAUGACAGCUCAUUACAGGGGCAUUUAUGACUUGUUUCUUUUCGUUUGAAAUACUGGGCUGAGCGACCUUCACUAUGACGCAUUACGGAACACUGUUAGUUAUUAUAAGCAAUGGCUACUCUUGCUAAAAUCAAGCCCUCCAACAUGCAUGCAGAAGAGAGCCUUAAUCAAAGGGGGCGGCCAGCCGUUGGUGUCACCCUGACUGUCCUCAAGUCUGUACCUUUCUCUUGGGUCCUCACUCUUGUUCCUCCUCCUAGCUGAGCCAAACCACAUGAAUUAGACUGUUUUCCCUGGGCUUCACAACACCAUGAAAUUGUUCCAAAAUAUGUUGAGAGAGAGAGAGAGAGAGAGAGAGAGAGAGAUUGAUUUAUUGUAAUUAAAGAAACGACAGGAAUCAUUAGGGAGAAGCAAAAGAAGACAAAAA
rnacentral:lncRNA from 1 species